rnacentral:misc_RNA from 1 species
CGCGAAUGGCUCAUUAAAUCAGCUAUGGUUCCUUAGAUCGUACAUACUACAGGGAUAACUGUAGUAAUUCUAGAGCUAAUACAUGCAAAUAUGCCCUGACCCGCGAGGGGACGGGUGCUUUUAUUAGAACAGAAUCAACGUUUGCAUUCUGUGAUGACUCUGGAUAACUUCGAUGAUCGCAGUCGGCCAUGUGUCGGCGACGGAUCUUUCAAGUGUCUGCCCUAUCAACUUUCGAUGGUAGGUGAACCUGCAGAAGGAUCAAGCUGGA